rnacentral:lncRNA from 7 species
AGUGCAAUAUAAAAACUGGGAGAAACCAACAAACAAAUGUGCAGAGGAGCUGUGGUGCCUCAACCCAGGAGGCACUCAAAGCCAGUUUGGAUGGGCCCAGGGCAGCCUAGUCUGGUGGGGGGCAACCAGCCCAGAGCAGGGAGUUGGAACUGGAUGAUCUUUAAGGUUUCCUCCAACCCAAGCUAUUCUAUGAUUCUAUGAUUUUACAAAAUAGCAAAGGUUCUUUUAAGCAUGAACACAACAAUACUAAUACACUAUAGAGGAAAUGUUUCUCAGAACUCAAAAACAACAGCAACAAAAAAACUAAACAACUGCAAACAGGGAGCCUUGGAAGCCUCUAUUUAACUCUUUUUCCUAUCUAAGUGCAACAGGGCUGCUCUACAAUGCCAGUUACUGGAAACCUAUGGCACUGCUCCAUCCUGCUCUCAUUUUAAAUGCAUAAUGAAAAUCAUUUGUCUUAUAUUCUGUUUGACCAAUUAUAUGAACAGUUUUAGCUGCUGAAGUAACUUGCUUCUCCCUGCAAAAAUACUUAAUCAGAAAGAAUAAGUAGUUUAAAUAUGAAUGUAAAGAAAUACUGUUUUCUAGAGCAGCUGUCCUGGGAGUGUCGGAUGUGACUGUCACCCAGAAUGCAAUCGCAGAACGCCUAGACUUCUCCAUGUUCUCUUUCAGACAAUAGGACUGGAGAGAGGAAUCGUUAUAACAAUAUUACUCAUCUUCAAAAAGAACAUGCUAGUAGCUUCUGUAUUUCUGCUUUGAAAUAUUGUUAGCAAUCUGUGCAGCUGUUACUUAAGAGAUGUACAAAUGAGUUCACUUUUGGAAAUGCAGCACAACGAUCUGUCCAAGGCAAGAUGCUGAAUUAAGAUUCAUCUUUGUGAAUCUCAUGAGCUGUUGUCUAAAUACUUUGCUACUGCACAAGGAAGAGCUGUUCCGUGCACACCGUCAGCUGCUGGUGUUACCACAUAUCUCUAACCUGUAUGAUCAGUUCAGCAAGUAUCUCUGUUUCACUAUUGCUGCUCCUUUUUGCAAAGAAGACAACAGUUUUUUCUGAUCAAUAUAGCCCUCAAAAACACAUAACUGACUUUAACUUGUAUCCCCAAAUUAAGGGUGAUGAUUAAGGUCAGCUCAGAGAUGCUUUUCCCCCUCUACUAUGUUUUCUUGUAUUGCAUCUAUACAUUAUUUUGUAUUCACUUUCUGUCAACAGAACAUCAGUUUUUCUAGACCAUAAGAUAAAACACAGCUAUGCUAUCUGACAAUCCUUUGCCUCAUGGCUUCUCUGUUUAGUGAAAAUAUAUUAAAACCAUUUCCAUCAGAGAAUUGAUUUAGUCUGUAGAGAGGGUGCAGAGGCUAAAGUUAGUUAAACUCCUGUCUAUACUGUUUCAGCAAGUAAGAACAUUUUUCUAAAACCUAUUUCUACAUUAAAUUCUGCUUUUUUAUUUUAGUGUGAAGCUAUGAAAAAGUAUUUAGCAUUGGCACAAUGUAAAGUUUUUGAAUGAGACUGUACUUAUGUCGCUUUUUAAGGGAGAAAUGAAAACAUAUGCCUCAGUGAAGGAAAUAUUAAUGCUUUUUAAU